UUAGUGGCGGACGGGUGAGUAACGCGUGGGUAACCUGCCUUGCACUGGGGGAUAACACUUAGAAAUAGGUGCUAAUACCGCAUAAGCGCACGGUCCUGCAUGGGACAGUGUGAAAAACUCCGGUGGUGCAAGAUGGACCCGCGUCUGAUUAGCUGGUUGGCGGGGUAAAGCCCACCAAGGCGACGAUCAGUAGCCGGCCUGAGAGGGUGGACGGCCACAUUGGGACUGAGACACGGCCCAAACUCCUACGGGAGGCAGCAG
rnacentral:rRNA from 1 species